rnacentral:lncRNA from 1 species
AGAGUGCAUUGCAGUCCCUAAAAAUCAAAAACCAAGAAUUUCAUAAAUUUUCAAAUUUUGGCACCAAGCACCAACCUAGCCAAGUCUCAUCACCACCAAACUUGGCUUGCUAGAAAACCAAAAAAAUUGAAAAUUUUCUUGCACCUAUUUUUUUCACCAAUUGUGAUUUCGGUAUUUAAAGUGUGCAUUGCAUCCCUAAAUGUCAAAAACCAAGACUUUCAAAAAUUUCCAAAUCUUGGCACCAAAUAAUAUCCUAGCGAAGUGUGAAAACCAAACUAGGUUUGCUUGAAAACCAACCAAAUUGAAAAUCAUCUUGCACCUAGAUUUUGGCACCAGUAAUCAUUUGGGGAUUUAAAUAGUGCAUUGGAGUCCCUAAAAAUAUAAAACCAAGACUUUUAUAAAUUAUAAAAUCUUGGCACCAAGCACCACCCUAGCCAAGUCUCAUCACCAAACUUGGCGUGCUUGAAAACCAACCAAAUUGAAAAUUUUCUUGCACCUAUUNUUUUCACCAAUUGUCAAUUCGGGAUUUAAAGUGUGCAUUGCAUCCCUAAAUGUCAAAAACCAAGACUAUCAAAAAUUUCCAAAUCUUGGCACCAAACAAUAACCUAGCCAAGUCGCAAAACCAAACUAGGUUUGUUUUAAAACCAACCAAAUUGAAAAUCAUCUUGCACCUAGAUUUUGGCACCAGUAAUCAUUUUGCGAUUUAAAGAGUGCAAUCCAGUCCCUAAAAAUCAAAAACCAAGACUUUCAAAAAUUUUCAAAUAUUGGCACCAAGCACCAACUUAGCCAAGUCUCAUCACCACCAAACNUGGCUUGCUAGAAAACCAAAAAAAUUGAAAAUUUUCUUGCACCUAUUUUUUUCACCAAUUGUCAUUUCGGGAUUUAAAGUGUGCAUUGCAUCCCUAAAUGUCAAAAACCAAGACUUUCAAAAAUUUCCAAAUCUUGGCACCAAAUAAUA